GACGAACGCUGGCGGCGUGCCUAAUACAUGCAAGUAGAACGCUGAAGGAGGAGCUUGCUUCUCUGGAUGAGUUGCGAACGGGUGAGUAACACGUAGGUAACCUGCCUGGUAGCGGGGGAUAACUAUUGGAAACGAUAGCUAAUACCGCAUAACAGUAGAUGUUGCAUGACAUUUGCUUAAAAGGUGCAAUUGCAUCACUACCAGAUGGACCUGCGUUGUAUUAGCUAGUUGGUGGGGUAACGGCUCACCAAGGCGACGAUACAUAGCCGACCUGAGAGGGUGAUCGGCCACACUGGGACUGAGACACGGCCCAGACUCCUACGGGAGGCAGCAGUAGGGAAUCUUCGGCAAUGGACGGAAGUCUGACCGAGCAACGCCGCGUGAGUGAAGAAGGUUUUCGGAUCGUAAAGCUCUGUUGUAAGAGAAGAACGAGUGUGAGAGUGGAAAGUUCACACUGUGACGGUAU
rnacentral:rRNA from 1 species